CUGCUGCCUUCCGUAGGAGUCUGGUCCGUGUCUCAGUACCAGUGUGGGGGACCUUCCUCUCAGAACCCCUACGCAUCGUCGCCUUGGUGGGCCGUUACCCCGCCAACUAGCUAAUGCGACGCAUGACCAUCCGUAGCCGGAAUCGCUUCCUUUAAACCCGAGGAGAUGCCUCCUCGGGUUGUUACGCGGUAUUAGACGGAAUUUCUUCCGCUUAUCCAUCUGUCACGGCCAGGUUGCAUACGUGUUACUCACCCGUGCGCCGGUCGCCGG
rnacentral:rRNA from 1 species